GUACUCACUCUGGCAGCACUUACAAUAAAAUAGGGACGAUACAGAGAAGAUUAGCAUGGCCCCUGUGCAAGGAUGACACGCAAAUUUGUGAGGUGUUCCAUAUUUUU
rnacentral:snRNA from 1 species